rnacentral:rRNA from 1 species
CCUACGGGCGGCUGCAGUGAGGAAUAUUGGUCAAUGGUCGCGAGCCUGAACCAGCCAAGUAGCGUGAAGGAUGACUGCCCUAUGGGUUGUAAACUGCUUUUAUAAAGGAAUAAAGUGAGGCACGUGUGCUGUUUUGUAUGUACUUUAUGAAUAAGGAUCGGCUAAUUCCGUGCCAGCAGCCGCGGUAAUACGGAGGAUCCGAGCGUUAUCCGGAUUUAUUGGGUUUAAAGGGAGCGUAGAUGGGAUGUUAAGUGAGUUGUGAAAGUUCGCGGCUCAACCAUGAAAUUGCAAUUGAUACUGGCAGUCUUGAGUGCAGUUGAGGUAGGCGGAAUUCGUGGUGUAGCGGUGAAAUGCUUAGAUAUCACGAAGAACUCCGAUUGCGAAGGCAGCUUACUGCACUGCCACUGACGUUGAUGCUCGAAGGUGUGGGUAUCAAACAGGAUUAGAUACCCGAGUAGUC